rnacentral:rRNA from 1 species
AUUGAACGCUGGCGGCAGGCCUAACACAUGCAAGUCGAGCGGAUGAAGGGAGCUUGCUCCUGGAUUCAGCGGCGGACGGGUGGGUAAUGCCUAGGAAUCUGCCUGGUAGUGGGGGAUAACGUCCGGAAACGGGCGCUAAUACCGCAUACGUCCAGAGGGAGAAAGUGGGGGAUCUUCGGACCUCACGCUAUCAGAUGAGCCUAGGUCGGAUUAGCUAGUUGGUGGGGUAAAGGCCUACCAAGGCGACGAUCCGUAACUGGUCUGAGAGGAUGAUCAGUCACACUGGAACUGAGACACGGUCCAGACUCCUACGGGAGGCAGCAGUGGGGAAUAUUGGACAAUGGGCGAAAGCCUGAUCCAGCCAUGCCGCGUGUGUGAAGAAGGUCUUCGGAUUGUAAAGCACUUUAAGUUGGGAGGAAGGGCAGUAAGUUAAUACCUUGCUGUUUUGACGUUACCAACAGAAUAAGCACCGGCUAACUUCGUG